rnacentral:tRNA from 1 species
CAGUAAAUAGUUUAUAUAAAAUAUAAGUUUUGGGGAUUUAAGAUGAGGGUUUAUAAUUCUUUUUACUGA